AUUGAACGCUGGCGGCAUGCUUUACACAUGCAAGUCGAACGGCAGCGCGGGCUUCGGCCUGGCGGCGAGUGGCGAACGGGUGAGUAAUACAUCGGAACGUGCCCCGUAGUGGGGGAUAGCUCGGCGAAAGCCGGAUUAAUACCGCAUACGACCUGAGGGUGAAAGCGGGGGAUCUUCGGACCUCGCGCUAUUGGAGCGGCCGAUGGCGGAUUAGCUAGUUGGUGGGGUAAAGGCCUACCAAGGCGACGAUCUGUAGCUGGUCUGAGAGGAGGACCAGCCACACGGGGAGUGAGACACGGCCCAGACUCCUACGGGAGGCAGCAGUGGGGAAUGUUGGACAAAGGGCGAAAGCCUGAUCCAGCAAGGCCGCGUGUGUGAUGAAGGCCUUCGGGUUGUAAAGCACUUUUGGCGGGAACGAAAAGGACUGUGCCAAUACCACGGUUCGAUGACGGUACCCGCAGAAUAAGCACCGGCUAACUACGUG
rnacentral:rRNA from 1 species